UACGUAGGGCGCAAGCGUUAUCCGGAUUCACUGGGUUUAAAGGGUGCGUAGGCGGACAGGUAAGUCAGUGGUGAAAUCUCUGGGCUUAACCCAGAAACUGCCGUUGAUACUAUUUGUCUUGAAUAUCCUGGAGGUAGGCGGAAUAUGUCAUGUAGCGGUGAAAUGCUUAGAUAUGACAUAGAGCACCGAUAGCGAAGGCAGCUUACUACAGGAUGAUUGACGCUGAGGCACGAAAGCGUGGGGAGCAAACAGG
rnacentral:rRNA from 1 species